AGGAUGAACGCUAGCGGCAGGCUUAAUACAUGCAAGUCGAGGGGCAGCGGGGUGUAGCAAUACACUGCCGGCGACCGGCAAACGGGUGCGGAACACGUACACAACUUUCCUUUAAGUGGGGGAUAGCCCAGAGAAAUUUGGAUUAAUACCCCGUAACAUUAUGUAGUGGCAUCACUAUAUAAUUAAAGCUCCGGCGCUUAAAGAUGGGUGUGCGGCUGAUUAGGUAGUUGGCGGGGUAACGGCCCACAAGCCUGUGAUCAGUACUGGUGUGAGAGCACGACCAGUCACACGGGCACUGAG
rnacentral:rRNA from 1 species